rnacentral:rRNA from 1 species
UACGUAGGGUGCGAGCGUUAAUCGGAAUUACUGGGCGUAAAGCGUGCGCAGGCGGUUUUGUAAGCCAGAUGUGAAAUCCCCGAGCUUAACUUGGGAACUGCAUUUGGGACUGCAAGGCUAGAGUACGGCAGAGGGGGGUAGAAUUCCACGUGUAGCAGUGAAAUGCGUAGAGAUGUGGAGGAACACCGAUGGCGAAGGCAGCCCCCUGGGCUAACACUGACGCUCAGGCACGAAAGCGUGGGGAGCAAACAGG